rnacentral:lncRNA from 1 species
GACAAAACUGUAGGACCGAGUCAAUCUCAUGGUCCAGAAUGCAUCUCCUAGUAACCUGGUCACUGCACAACUUCCAUAAAUAUGGGUCAUCCCAAACAUAAUACUUAGCAUCACUCUUAAUUUUAGCAAUUGGAGCACGUGAUGCUGAUGGGGGUCGCACCCCAUGCAAAAUUUAAUGUGCAUAAAAGAAUGCAGUAUAGCUAGGAAGUGACUCCUAGGUCGUCUCUCAAGGACCAAACCAUGGUUCAGGAAUUAGG